GUCUACAACCAUGCCACCCUGAACAUGCCCGAUCUUGUCUGAUCUCGGAAGCUAAGCAGGGUCGGGCCUGGUUAGUACUUGGAUGGGAGACCACCUAGGAAGACCAGGUGCUGUAGGCA
rnacentral:rRNA from 1 species